UACGGAGGGUGCGAGCGUUGUCCGGAAUCACUGGGCGUAAAGGGCGCGUAGGCGGCUUGAUAAGUAGGGGGUGAAAUCCUGCGGCUUAACCGCAGGGCUGCCUUCUAAACUGUCAGGCUGGAGCACAGUAGAGGCAGGUGGAAUUCCCGGUGUAGCGGUGGAAUGCGUAGAGAUCGGGAAGAACAUCGGUGGCGAAGGCGGCCUGCUGGGCUGUUGCUGACGCUGAGGCGCGACAGCGUGGGGAGCAAACAGG
rnacentral:rRNA from 1 species